rnacentral:rRNA from 1 species
AUGGUCCGAUGGAGGGCGGCGACUUUGAUGUGCGGGGCGACGACGAAGGGAUGGAUCCGCGACGGAGAGAUGGAACGGCGGCGGCGAAUGGAUGAACUGGCGGUGGCGAAGGGGUGGAUCUGGGGCGAAGGGAUGGAGGGCGGCGUCUCACGACCUGCUGUGCGAGUCGUGCGGCGCUCGAGGGCAGGAGGCCUUGCUCUUUGCAGAGGAUGCUUUUGUUUCAACUUUAAGAAUGACCAUUGGAUUUUGCUUCAUGAGGUCAACCUUGCACCUCCAGAGACUCUUCAGAGAAUUGGUGUUGUACUGGACGGAGAGAAGGGCAUGUUGUGCCUUGCUGAAAUGGGUGAUGUUGAUUAUAUUGAAAGCCAUGCAUGA